UAUGAAUUGUUGUUAAAUUCAGAUUUGGUUAUUUCAGGUUGAAUAGGAAAAAUCACCUGUAUAUAAUGACUUGGGUUCUCCUUCCUUUUCUUUAGGAGUGUAAUUUUAGUAGUAGUUUGAGAAAUAGUGAGACAGAUGCUAUAGUUUUAUAUGAAUUGAUUUGAGAGAAAUGAGAUGGUCCCAUUAUUUUGAUUUGAAUAUGGGAAAUAUAUUGUAAUUGGAAAUUUUUAGGUUAUUAGAUUCUGUUAUUUGUGGAUUUGAUGAUCAAAUUUUGGUUUUGGAUUGCUUACUAAUUAUAUAAUGGUGAAAUGAUGACAUGGUAAACGUAAUCAUGCAUGUGUGAUUUUGUGUGGAGGAUUAGUAAUAUCUGCAAGUUUUAUGCUGGUGGUGGGAAAAGGUUUUCUAAGUUGGUUUCAUAAGUCCUGAUUAGGAUUUACAAUAUAUCAAUUCAUCCAAAAUGGUUUAGUUCUUCUUUAUGGACUAACUGGCUAUAUAAGAAAAGAUGUCUUGUGUAAAGUAAAAGAAUGGA
rnacentral:misc_RNA from 1 species